rnacentral:rRNA from 1 species
GUAAGCUACUAAGAGCAAAUGGUGGAUGCCUUGGCUAGUAGAGGCGAUGAAAGACGUGCCAGGCUGCGAUAAGUCUCGGGGAGCCGUCAAGGGGCUUUGAUCCGGGAAUUUCUGAAUGGGGCAACCCAGUAUAUAGUGAUAUAUACUACCGCAAUGCGGAGCUAACGUUGGGAAUUGAAACAUCUUAGUACCAACAGGAAAAGAAAUCAAAAGAGAUUACGCUAGUAGCGGCGAGCGAACGCGUAAGAGGGCAAACCGUUAGUUUACUAACGGGGUUGUAGGACUGCAACAUAGACUUAAACAAACUAAUAGAAUAACCUGGAAAGGUUGGCCAUAGAGGGUGAUAGCCCCGUAUAUGAAAGUGCGUUUAUACUUAGCAGUAUCCUGAGUAGGGCGGGACACGUGAAAUCCUGUCUGAAGCUGGGGAGACCACUCUCCAACCCUAAAUACUACUACUAGACCGAUAGUGCACAAGUACCGUGAGGGAAAGGUGAAAAGAACUGAGGUGAUCAGAGUGAAAUAGAACCUGAAACCAUUUGCUUACAAUCAUUCAGAGCACGAUUCUUUAUGACGUGUGAUGGACUGCCUUUUGCAUAAUGAGCCUGCGAGUUGUGGUGUCUGGCGAGGUUAAGGAAACCCGGAGCCGUAGCGAAAGCGAGUCUUAAUAGGGCGUAUAGUCAGAUGCUGCAGACCCGAAACGAUGUGAUCUAUCCAUGAGCAGGUUGAAACUGGUGUAAGAGCCAGCGGAGGACCGAACAGACGGCCGUUGAAAAGGCUCCUGAUGACUUGUGGAUAGGGGUGAAAGGCCAAUCAAACAUCGUGAUAGCUGGUUCUCUCCGAAAUAUAUUUAGGUAUAGCGUUGUGUCGUAAUUAUAAGGGGUAGAGCACUGAAUGGGCUAGGGCAUAUACCAAUGUACCAAACCCUAUCAAACUCCGAAUACUUAUAAUGUAAUCACAGCAGUCAGGCGGCGAGUGAUAAAAUCCGUCGUCAAGAGGGGAACAACCCAGACUAACAGCUAAGGUCCCUAAAUCUCAUUUAAGUGGAAAACGAUGUGGAGUUACUGAAACAACCAGGAGGUUGGCUUAGAAGCAGCCAUCCUUUAAAGAAAGCGUAAUAGCUCACUGGUCUAGUGAUUCUGCGCGGAAAAUAUAACGGGGCUAAAAUGAGUACCGAAGCUUUAGACUUAGUUUUUAACUAAGUGGUAGGAGAGCGUUCUAUUCAGCGUUGAAGGUAUACCGGUAAGGAGUGCUGGAGCGGAUAGAAGUGAGCAUGCAGGCAUGAGUAGCGAUAAUUGAUGUGAGAAUCAUCAACGCCGAAAACCCAAGGUUUCCUACGCGAUGCUCGUCAUCGUAGGGUUAGUCGGGUCCUAAGCAAAGUCCGAAAGGGGUAUGCGAUGGAAAAUUGGUUAAUAUUCCAAUACCAAUUAUUAUGUGCGAUGGAAGGACGCUUAAAGUUAGUGGAGCUAGCGGAUGGAAGUGCUAGUCUAAGGGUGUAGGUUGAGUUAUAGGCAAAUCCGUAACUCUUUAUCCGAGACCUAAAAGGCUCAUGACGCUCUUCGGAGUAGAUUGAGAAUCCAUGAUACUAUCGAGCCAAGAAAAGUUUCUAAGUUUAGUAAUAAUUGCCCGUACCGUAAACCGACACAGGUGGGUGGGAUGAGUAUUCUAAGGCGCGUGGAAGAACUCUCUUUAAGGAACUCUGCAAAAUAGCACCGUAUCUUCGGUAUAAGGUGUGCCUAACUUUGUAUUAAGAUUCACUCCCAAAGCAAAGAAGGUUACAACAAAGAGUCCCUCCCGACUGUUUACCAUAAACACAGCACUCUGCUAACACGUAAGUGGAUGUAUAGGGUGUGACGCCUGCCCGGUGCUCGAAGGUUAAUUGAUGAUGUUAGCUAUGCGAAGCAUUUGAUCGAAGCCCGAGUAAACGGCGGCCGUAACUAUAACGGUCCUAAGGUAGCGAAAUUCCUUGUCGGUUAAAUACCGACCUGCAUGAAUGGCGUAACGAGAUGGGAGCUGUCUCAAAGAGGGAUCCAGUGAAAUUGUAGUGGAGGUGAAAAUUCCUCCUACCCGCGGCAAGACGGAAAGACCCCGUGGACCUUUACUACAGCUUGACACUGCUACUUGGAUAAAGAUGCGCAGGAUAGGUGGGAGGCUUUGAUCCAUAGACCCUGGUUUAUGGUGAGCCAUUGUUGAGAUACCACUCUUCUUUAUUCGGGUAGCUAACUAGCCUAAGUUAUCCUUAGGUAGGACAAUGUCUGGUGGGUAGUUUGACUGGGGCGGUCGCCUCCCAAAAUGUAACGGAGGCUUACAAAGGUUGGCUCAGAACGGUUGGAAAUCGUUCGUAGAGUAUAAAGGCAUAAGCCAGCUUAACUGCGAGACAUACACGUCAAGCAGAGACGAAAGUCGGUCUUAGUGAUCCGGUGGUUCUGUGUGGAAGGGCCAUCGCUCAAAGGAUAAAAGGUACCCCGGGGAUAACAGGCUGAUCUCCCCCAAGAGCUCACAUCGACGGGGAGGUUUGGCACCUCGAUGUCGGCUCAUCGCAUCCUGGGGCUGGAGCAGGUCCCAAGGGUAUGGCUGUUCGCCAUUUAAAGCGGUACGCGAGCUGGGUUCAGAACGUCGUGAGACAGUUCGGUCCCUAUCUGCCGUGGGCGUAAGAAGAUUGAGGAGAGUUGACCCUAGUACGAGAGGACCGGGUCGAACUAGCCACUGGUGUACCAGUUGUUCUGCCAAGAGCAUCGCUGGGUAGCUAAGCUAGGAUGAGAUAAGAGCUGAAAGCAUCUAAGCUCGAAGCCAACUCCAAGAUGAAUCUUCUUUUAAGAGCUCUAGUAGACUACUAGUUUGAUAGGCUGGGUGUGUAAUGGAUGAAAGUCCUUUAGCUGACCAGUACUAAUAGCUCGUUUGCUUAUCUUUA